ACACAUCACCACGAGACUUUCCAGUGUGCUUUGUCCUCACUCGUACACUUUCCGGGAAAGUGUGCGAGUGAGGACAAAACACACUGGAAAGUCUCGUGGUGAUGUGUG
rnacentral:pre_miRNA from 1 species